CCACGAAUGAACACCCAACCAGCCAUCAUGCUGAACUAUUCCAAAGGAGAGAACUCUCUCAAUACUGAUCCAAUCAACACAACUUUUUGGGUGAAGGUAGUUUAGUAGUUAACCCUGAAAUCUAUGGAAUACAACCAACAAUCUGAUCCAAACAACCAAAUAUCAAAGAAACAAGAGUGCUGAAUCUGAUUCUGGUGGUAGGAGUGAAACCAGCGUAGUUGCAGGCUAUGAUUUUCAGUACUUCAGAGGAUAUUUGGGAACCAGCACCUAGGGUUUUGGAUCACCCUAAGGUGGUGAUAUUAACCCUAAACUAUGAAGAAGAAAAGAAGAGAAAUAAGGGAGAUCAAAGCCAAUAAGAAAGGGACUGCUACCACUGUCUGAAACAGAGUAGGGAAACAGUAAUAGGAAAUAACGGCAAAAGGGAAGGAAAUAAAGAAUUGAAGAAG